rnacentral:rRNA from 1 species
UACGAAGGACCCAAGCGUUAUCCGGAUUUAUUGGGUUUAAAGGGUGCGUAGGCGGGUUGGUAAGUCCGUGGUGAAAUCCCCAAGCUUAACUUGGGAACUGCCGUGGAUACUAUCAAUCUUGAAUAUCGUGGAGGUAAGCGGAAUAUGUCAUGUAGCGGUGAAAUGCUUAGAUAUGACAUAGAACACCAAUUGCGUAGGCAGCUUACUACACGAUCAUUGACGCUGAGGCACGAAAGCGUGGGGAGCAAACAGG